rnacentral:rRNA from 1 species
UACAGAGACUGCAAGCGUUAUUCGGAUUCACUGGGCGUAAAGGGUGCGCAGGCGGCCAAGUGUGUCAGGUGUGAAAUCCCGAGGCUCAACCUCGGAACUGCGCCUGAAACUACUUGGCUAGAGUACUGGAGAGGGUAACGGAAUUCAUGGUGUAGCAGUGAAAUGCGUAGAUAUCGUGAGGAACACCAGAGGCGAAGGCGGUUACCUGGACAGUUACUGACGCUCAGGCACGAAAGCGUGGGGAGCAAAAGGG